rnacentral:rRNA from 1 species
AUUGAACGCUGGCGGCAUGCCUUACACAUGCAAGUCGAACGGCAGCACGGGUGCUUGCACCUGGUGGCGAGUGGCGAACGGGUGAGUAAUACAUCGGAACAUGUCCUGUAGUGGGGGAUAGCCCGGCGAAAGCCGGAUUAAUACCGCAUACGAUCUACGGAUGAAAGCGGGGGACCUUCGGGCCUCGCGCUAUAGGGUUGGCCGAUGGCUGAUUAGCUAGUUGGUGGGGUAAAGGCAUACCAAGGCGACGAUCAGUAGCUGGUCUGAGAGGACGACCAGCCACACUGGGACUGAGACACGGCCCAGACUCCUACGGGAGGCAGCAGUGGGGAAUUUUGGACAAUGGGCGAAAGCCUGAUCCAGCAAUGCCGCGUGUGUGAAGAAGGCCUUCGGGUUGUAAAGCACUUUUGUCCGGAAAGAAAUCCUUGGCUCUAAUACAGUCGGGGGAUGACGGUACCGGAAGAAUAAGCACCGGCUAACUACGUG